CAGUAGCCGCGGUAAUACGGAGGGGGCAAGCGUUAUCCGGAAUUAUUGGGCGUAAAGGGUACGUAGGUGGCCUUUUAAGCGUAGGGUAUAAGGCAAUGGCUCAACCAUUGUUCGCCCUAUGAACUGGAAGGCUUGAGUGCAGGAGAGGAAAGCGGAAUUCCUAGUGUAGCGGUGGAAUGCAUAGAUAUUAGGAGGAACAUCAGCGGCGAAGGCGGCUUUCUGGACUGCAACUGACACUGAGGUACGAAAGCGUGGGGAGCAAACAGGAUUAGAGACCCCAGUAGUCCCUGUCUCUUAUACA
rnacentral:rRNA from 1 species